UACGGAGGAUCCAAGCGUUAUCCGGAUUUAUUGGGUUUAAAGGGUGCGCAGGCGGGAGAUUAAGUCGGUGGUGAAAUUUUGCAGCUCAACUGUAAAAGUGCCAUUGAUACUGGUUUUCUUGAGUGUAGAUGAAGUAGGCGGAAUUUGUGGUGUAGCGGUGAAAUGCAUAGAUAUCACGAGGAACUCCGAUUGCGCAGGCAGCUUACUAAACUACUACUGACGCUCAGGCACGAAGGCGUGGGGAUCAAACAGGAUUAGAUA
rnacentral:rRNA from 1 species